UACAUGGGGUGCAAACGUUGCUCGGAAUUAUUGGGCGUAAAGCGCACGUAGGCGGUUUGUUAAGUCGGAUGUGAAAUCCCUCGGCUCAACUGAGGAAGUGCAUCCGAAACUGGCAGGCUUGAGUACUAAAGAGGGUCGCGGAAUUCCCGGUGUAGAGGUGAAAUUCGUAGAUAUCGGGAGGAACACCAGUGGCGAAGGCGGCUUCCUGGACCGGUUCUGACACUGAGGAGCGAAAGCGUGGGGAGCGAUCCGG
rnacentral:rRNA from 1 species